rnacentral:rRNA from 1 species
GACGAACGCUGGCGGCGUGCUUAACACAUGCAAGUCGAACGGAAAGGCCCUGCUUUUGUUGGGUUCUCGAGUGGCGAACGCGUGAGUAACACGUGAGUAUCCUGCCCCUGACUUUGGGAUAACUUCAGGAAACUGGGGCUAAUACCGGAUAUGAUCUCCUGCUGCGUGGGGUGGGUUGGAAAGUUUCGGCGGUUGGGGAUGGACUCGCGGCUUAUCCGCUUCUUGGUGGGGUAGUUGCUUACCAAGGCUUUGACGGGUAGCCGGCCUGAGAGGGUGACCGGCCACAUUGGGACUGAGAGACGGCCCAGACUCCUACGGGAGGCAGCAGUGGGGAAUAUUGCACAAUGGGCGGAAGCCUGAUGCAGCAACGCCGCGUGCGGGAUGACGGCCUUCGGGUUGUAAACCGCUUUCGCCUGUGACGAAGCGUGAGUGACGGUAAUGGGUAAAGAAGCACCGGCUAACUACGUG